rnacentral:rRNA from 1 species
UGUACAGAGGAUUUGAUCCUGGUCCAGGAUGAAUGCUGGCAGCGUGGAUUAGGCAUACAAGUUGAACGAUCUAGUUAAGUUUUCGCAAGAAAAUUUAACUAGAUAGUAGCGAACGGGCUUUUAUUACCUUGGUAACAUACCCUGAAGUGGGGCAUAGCUCAUCGAAAGAUGAGGUAAUUCCCCAUAGUCUGAUAAUCAGUUAGAUUAUCAGUAAAGACGCAAGUCGCUUCAGGAUUGGCUUAGGUCUUAUCAGCUAGUUGGUAGGGUAAUGGCCUACCAAGGCUAUGACAAGUAGGGGGUGUGAGAGCAUGACCCCCAGCAAGGGCACUGAGACACGGGCCCUACUCCUACGGGAGGCAGUAGCCGAGAAUCUUUGGCAAUGGGCGAAAGCCUGACCGAGCGACGCUGCGUGCAGGAUGGAGGUCUUCGGAUUGUAAACUGCUUUUUUCACCGAAGAAUUACUGACGUUAGGUGAAGAAUAAGGGACUGCUAACUACGUGCCAGCAGCCGCGGUAAUACGUAGGUCCCGAGCAUUAUCCGGAUUUAUUGGGCGUAAAGCGUCCUUAGGUGGUCCGGCCACUUUAGUGGACUUGCUUAUCUAUAUUUUAUAGUUAAGCAAGCAAGUUCUAAGUUAAAGACCAGAGCUUAACUCUGGAAGUGCUUAGAAUACUGACGGACUUGAGGGAGAAAGAAGUGAGUGGAACACACGGUGUAGGGGUGAAAUCCGUUGAUAUCGUGUGGAACACCGAAAGCGAAAGCAACUCACUAGGGCUUACCUGACACUCAAAGACGAAAGCGUGGGGAGCAAAAAGGAUUAGAUACCCUUGUAGUCCACGCCCUAAACUAUGGAUGCUAACUAUUGGUAGUAUCGACCCUAUCAGUGGUGAAGUUAACGCGUUAAGCAUCCCGCCUGGGAAGUACGGCCGCAAGGCUAAAACUCAAAGGAAUAGACCGGAACUCGCACAAGCGGUGGAACAUAGGGUUUAAUUCGAGGUCAAACGAAGAACCUUACCAGGGUUAGAAACUCCUAGGAAAAUCUAACGAAAGUUAGACCUUCCGCAAGGACCUAGGGGUCAGGUGCUGCAUGGUUGUCGUCGGCUCGUGGCGUGAGUCGUUCCCUUCAGUGGGGAAACGAGCGCAACCCCUGCUCUGUGUUAUAUGUGUCACAGAGAACCGCCCCUGCCUAAGUUUUUGAGUACUUUUUAAGAUUGAAUACUAACUCAAAAAUUUUGGCAGGGGAGGAAGGAGGGGAUGACGACAAAUCCGCAUGGCCCUUUGAUGCCCUGGGCUACACUUAUGUUACAAUGGGAUGGACAAUGUGUUGCCAAACCGUAAGGUGGAGCUAAUCACAACAAACCAUUCCUUAGUUCGGAUUGAGGGCUGCAACCCGCCCUCAUGAAGCCGGAAUCGCUAGUAAUCGCGGGUCAGCCAUACCGCGGUGAAUACGUUCUCGAGUUCUGUACUCACCGCCUGUCAAGUCAAGGGAGUCGGGAAUAGCUGAACCCCGCCUAAGUUUUUGAGUAGUGGAAAUUGGAAACUCAAAAAUUUUGGCGGGGUAAGCUAGGCUCGAUGACAGGGGCUAAGUCAUAACAAGGCACCACUAGCGGAAGCUGGGGGUGAAACUUUUCUUUU